GUAGGUGAACCUGCGGUAGGAUCAUU
rnacentral:rRNA from 1 species